AUUGAACGCUGGCGGCAUGCUUUACACAUGCAAGUCGAACGGUAACAGGCCGCAAGGUGCUGACGAGUGGCGAACGGGUGAGUAAUGCAUCGGAACGUGCCCAGUCGUGGGGGAUAACGCAGCGAAAGCUGCGCUAAUACCGCAUACGAUCUCUGGAUGAAAGCGGGGGACCGAAAGGCCUUGCGCGCUUGGAGCGGCCGAUGUCAGAUUAGGUAGUUGGUGGGGUAAAGGCCCACCAAGCCAACGAUCUGUAGCUGGUCUGAGAGGACGACCGUCCACACUUGUAAUGGGACACGGCCCAGCCUCCGACGGGAGGCAGCAGUGGAGAAUUUUGCACAAGGUGCGCAAGCCUGAUCCAGCAAUGCCGCGUGCAGGAAGAAGGCCUUCGGGUUGUAAACUGCUUUUGUACGGAACGAAACGGUCCGGGUUAAUACCCUGGGCUAAUGACGGUACCGUAAGAAUAAGCACCGGCUAACUACGUGCCAGCCGCCGCCGUAACAC
rnacentral:rRNA from 1 species